rnacentral:ncRNA from 1 species
AAAUGAUAGCGCCAGAACCGUUUUUUGUGACUCGGACGGUUAACGAGGUGAGAGGUGAUCGAAACUUCGGCGGAUGCCUCUCCGGCAGCUUUUGCAAAAUGCAAAAGCCUGUCGUUAAUAUAUGGACAAAUAUACAGGCAACUGUAAAACAAAGCCAUAUAUAU